rnacentral:lncRNA from 1 species
AUUCGGGGAGAUUAAGUUGCAUUUCAUCAUAUUAUCCUUUCACAUAUAGUGAUGUGGGUAUGGAAAACGAAGGACGACAUAAUUCAUGGUUGAUUUCUUGGCAAUGUUCUGACUUAUGAGUUAUGAGUUGAGUGCUUCGGGUAUCCACAGGUCUUAUGAAGGCUGAAGUGUUAACUUUGAGUAAUUUGUAAUGAUGGUUUCUGAAACUGUCAUUUUAGUGUCAGCUUCUCUAGUAUUUUUUGUGUAAGCUAGGUCCUGAACUAUAAGGCUUGUGGUUGGGGGUGAUCUAGGGCCAAGAAGCUCAUUUUAUUUGAAAGAAAAAAUGAAGUACGACUGUAGCAAUAUUAGCAUGCUAGGCAAAUGACGCAAUGUUCACCAGCUACUUGCAAAAAAAAGGAAAAAGGUCUCCAGCCUCUGCAUUAUUAUUUUUUAAAGCAGGUACUCAACUCAGCAAGUCUUUCCAAAUAAUAAAAACUAUGUUUUCACUAUCCAGCUGAGGGCCAGUUCUUUUCAGGCUUAUGGCUGGGGGGGGGAAACUAUCCAGCUGAGGGCCAGUUCUUUUCAGGCUUAUGGCUGGCUGUGGAAAUAAACUGCCCCUUCCCCGGCCUAUUCUAGAA